rnacentral:lncRNA from 1 species
AGAAACCGCAGGUAACCAAAAAAUUUUCUAACAAAAUAAACCAAUAAAUUCUCUAUAUUUCAGAUAAAAUGUUAAGAAUAUAACCUCAUUAUCCUUUUUGAUUUGUAGUUACAUUGAGAGUUCUCAAUCUGAUGAUGAAGAAGAAUGAAGACAGUUGCUAUUUGUGACACCCCAAUAGUCCCACAUCGGAUGGGAAUAGGGUUGUCAUUGGGUUUAUAAGAGACUUAAACACUAGUAAUAAUAACUGGGCUUAAGUAUUUUGGGCCAGUUGUUGGGCCCAACGAGUUAUUAUUGCUAGUGGGCUGGGUCGUUACACUAUUGAAAUUUGGCAAGAAUUAUCUUCCUAAAGAAUUUGAAGGAUAUGUGUAAUAAAGUUAUUAUACUUUAAUUACUGUAUUUUGGUUAUACUAU